UACGAAGGGGGCUAGCGUUGUUCGGAAUUACUGGGCGUAAAGCGCGCGCAGGCGGCUAUCCAAGUCAGUGGUGAAAGCCCGGAGCUCGACUCCGGAACUGCCAUUGAAACUGUUUAGCUUGAGGACGAGAGAGGUGAGUGGAAUUCCCAGUGUAGAGGUGAAAUUCGUAGAUAUUGGGAAGAACACCGGUGGCGAAGGCGGCUCACUGGCUCGUUUCUGACGCUCAGGCGCGACAGCGUGGGGAUCAAACAGG
rnacentral:rRNA from 1 species